rnacentral:rRNA from 1 species
CCAAGAGAUUGGGCUUCCCCUUCGGGGGCAAAGUGACAGGUGGUGCAUGGUUGUCGUCAGCUCGUGUCGUGAGAUGUUGGGUUAAGUCCCGCAACGAGCGCAACCCUUGAUCUUAGUUGCCAGCAUUGAGUUGGGCACUCUAAGGUGACUGCCGGUGACAAACCGGAGGAAGGUGGGGAUGACGUCAAAUCAUCAUGCCCCUUAUGACCUGGGCUACACACGUGCUACAAUGGAUGGUACAAAGGGCAGCGAAACCGCGAGGUGAAGCCAAUCCCAUAAAGCCAUUCUCAGUUCGGAUUGCAGGCUGCAACUCGCCUGCAUGAAGCCGGAAUUGCUAGUAAUCGCGGAUCAGCAUGCCGCGGUGAAUACGUUCCCGGGUCUUGUACACACCGCCCGUCACACCACGAGAGUUUGUAACACCCGAAGUCGGUGAGGCAACCUUUUGGAGCCAGCCGCCUAAGGUGGGACAAAUGAUUGGGGUGAAGUCGUAACAAGGUAGCCGUAUCGGAAGGUGCGGCUGGAUCACCUCCUUU